CUGGUGAAGGGGCUGGAGGCGCCAUGUCAGACCUGGAAGGUGGCAAAAAGAAGCCCCUGAAACAGCCCAAGAAGCAGGUCAAGGAGAUGGACGAGGAAGAUAAAGCUUUCAAGCAGAAACAAAAGGAGGAACAGAAAAAACUAGAGGAGCUAAAAGCCAAGGCUGCGGGGAAGGGCCCCCUGGCCACAGGUGGAAUUAAGAAAUCUGGCAAGAAGUAAGGUGUUCCUCACAUCGGAGGUGACAAUGACCCUCCUCCUCCAUCCCUAUGUAAACAUCUGGAUUCCCUGCCAUAAC